CCUACGGGAGGCAGCAGUGAGGAAUAUUGGUCAAUGGACGAGAGUCUGAACCAGCCAAGUAGCGUGAAGGAUGACUGCCCUAUGGGUUGUAAACUUCUUUUAUAUGGGAAUAAAAUGUUCCACGUGUGGGCUUUUGUAUGUACCAUAUGAAUAAGGAUCGGCUAACUCCGUGCCAGCAGCCGCGGUAAUACGGAGGAUCCGAGCGUUAUCCGGAUUUAUUGGGUUUAAAGGGAGCGUAGGUGGGUUGUUAAGUCAGUGGUGAAAGUUUGCGGCUCAACCGUAAAAUUGCAGUUGAAACUGGCAGUCUUGAGUACAGUAGAGGUGGGCGGAAUUCGUGGUGUAGCGGUGAAAUGCAUAGAUAUCGCGAAGAACUCCGAUUGCGAAGGCAGCUCACUGGACUGCAACUGACACUGAGGCUCGAAAGUGUGGGUAUCAAACAGGAUUAGAUACCCGGGUAGUC
rnacentral:rRNA from 1 species